rnacentral:misc_RNA from 1 species
UGUUCGCCUUUGUUUUCCCAAGCCGUCUACCGCGCAGCACAAACCGUUUCUACCCCUUUAGCGAGCGAGUGACUCAUUGGUCCCGUCCCUGGAGCACAAACACACACACACACACGAACCGUUCGUCGCGUGACGCACUGCGCCCGUCUGUGCCUCCCCAUCCCACUCCCACCCCCAAACAUUUCUCGCUCGAGCACCAGGCAUCUCGUCCGCUUUCGUUUUUCGCUUGGGUUUCCUUUUGACCCCCUCCUUACUGUCCCACGCAUUGCAGUGCCUUCGUGUGUGCGUGUGCGUGUUUGGACGGUGUUGCCCCAGUCCCCACCUCCAUCGCCUGCCAGCACCCAACACGGCAACCUUCCAGCAGCAGGUCUCGAGCUGCUGCUGCCUCUCCUCAUUUGUCUGCCUCUACUCUAGUGUUGCUUACUUUCUUCCUCAAUAUUCUCUCCUCCCUCCUUCCCAUUAUCCCUCCAUCCCUCCCCCCUCCUCUCCGCCAUUGAUCUACUUGGCAUCAUCUUCUGCAAAACCCACUCGCACCUCCUGGCCGGCACUCUACCCCUUGACCCCGCUAUCCUCCUCUCUCGUGUCACCUGCACAG